UACGUAGGGUGCGAGCGUUGUCCGGAAUUACUGGGCGUAAAGAGCUCGUAGGUGGUUUGUCGCGUUGUCCGUGAAAACUCACAGCUCAACUGUGGGCGUGCGGGCGAUACGGGCAGACUGGAGUACUGCAGGGGAGACUGGAAUUCCUGGUGUAGCGGUGGAAUGCGCAGAUAUCAGGAGGAACACCGGUGGCGAAGGCGGGUCUCUGGGCCGAUACUGACGCUGAGGAGCGAAAGCGUGGGGAGCAAACAGG
rnacentral:rRNA from 1 species